UACGGAGGGUGCAAGCGUUAAUCGGAAUUACUGGGCGUAAGGUGCGCGUAGGCGGCUGAGUAAGUCUGAUGUGAAAGCCCCGGGCUCAACCUGGGAACUGCAUUCGAUACUGCUUGGCUAGAGUACAGUAGAGGAGAGUGGAAUUUCCGGUAUAGCGGUGAAAUGCGUAGAUAUCGGAAGGAACACCAGUGGCGAAGGCGACUCUCUGGACUGAUACUGACGCUGAUAGCGCGAAAGCGUGGGGAGCAAACAGG
rnacentral:misc_RNA from 1 species